UACGUAGGGUGCGAGCGUUGUCCGGAAUUAUUGGGCGUAAAGAGCUUGUAGGCGGUCUGUCGCGUCUGCUGUGAAAAUCCGGGGCUCAACCCCGGACUUGCAGUGGGUACGGGCAGACUAGAGUGUGGUAGGGGAGACUGGAAUUCCUGGUGUAGCGGUGAAAUGCGCAGAGAUCAGGAGGAACACCCGUAGCGAAGGCGGCACUCUGGGCCGAUACUGACGCUGAGGAGCGAAAGCGUGGGGAGCGAACAGG
rnacentral:rRNA from 1 species